UUUGCUUGUUCACCACAUAUCACGCAUUUUUCUUAGUUUUAUCAUUUGGCAUGAUUCUCGAACCUCUUUCCCCUCAUUUUAGGUUUUGCAUCCCAUACUAGCUAUAGGGUUCAUUUUGCUUGAGUGUCCCCUUCCGAUAAGGGAAACGAGCGAGUGUGGCUACUCGAUAGCCUUAGCACGCUAGUUUUGCCUUCUAAUCAAAGGGAAAAUAGAAGUCGAAAAGUUAGGAGUCAACCCCCGUACCCGACUUGUUGCAUUCCCCUAGGGUCAUACUUUCAUUUUUAUCACUUCCAUACUCU
rnacentral:lncRNA from 1 species